rnacentral:lncRNA from 1 species
CUAGGGGAUCUACUAGGGGCACCAAUUAUUAUUAUCAUUUUCUGCUGCAACAAUGUUGUUUUAGCUAGGUAUUACAUGUAGUUCUCCUGCAUGUUCAGAAAGAAAAUCAAUAUCGUUAUGAAAAUAAAUAGCAGUAAUUAGGUCUGAAGCCACCAAGAAAUCCAGUAAAUUGACAUCGACGUGUACUAAAAGUCGGGUUUAGCGCAAAUGCACAAUAGUUACAUAAUUUGGGAUGAGAUUAAAGAGAAUUAGAACUAUAAUUUAGAAAUGUAGAAUAAUUAAUUACAGUGUCAAAAUAGAUGUGAAAAUCAUCAAGCUUGUGUUUCUGAAGUACUUCAUCUAAGCCAAUGUCAUUGCCUAUCGUAUUCAUCAAGCAAGCUCUACCUCUACCGGGUAGCAGCAUCGUUAUGGGUGCAGUGUAGUGAAGAUCUUGAAUAAUUUUGUCCGAACUGAUAAAUCUCGUGGUUUUGAGUUCUGGUUGUAAUGGAAGAUCAUUCGAUCCUGUCGUCCCCCGCGCUGGUAGCCAAUAAAUAUAAAGUUUAAAUGCUGAUAUUGUUCCCAUAUAUAGAAAGGCAGUCACAAUUAAAAUGCACCAUGGAGGCCACUAGAAUAGGACGUAUCCACUCUGAUGGGGUUUAAAGGACAUUAGAAACCAGCAGACUGAAUGAACACAUUAGAACCAACUUUCACUUGGCUCUACUUCUCCUGGUGUAUCUAAUAGCAGAGGAUCACAACAAAUAGGAUCCAAGCACACUUACCCAAAUUCACCUAAUUUUCCUUUCAAUUUUCCCAAAUUGUACAAGUCUUCUGUUCAAACGGCAAAUAAAACUAAUUUGCUAUGAAUCAAAAUAAUUUAGAUCACAUAAUCCUUGAAGAAAGGUCGCAUUUUUUUUCCUUUCUGCGAUCCAAGUGUUUUCUUGUUCCCAUGUGUAUCUGAAAUGAACUAUAAGGACACUUAUGGAAACUUUAGGUAAACUUAUGACAUCAACUAAACUACAAUAGUUCCUUUUAGAGUAAAGAAUCAAAUAUGUUCUUAUUCGCAUCAAUAGCACAUUUUUCAGAGCAUGAACCAUGCAACAUAAAAACUACUCCUGUCACUACACAUAAAGUGCCUGGGGGAAAUAUCCUCUCCCGGAUCAUCAGAAAGUAGGGAAUCAGCCACUUCCUAAGCUUCCUGGAAGCAAUCACUCCCAGAUUUCUCUUGGGAUGAAGCCACACCCAGAGAAGGUUGAGGAGCAGGAUUUUUAGUCAAUUCUACAUAAACAUCAAACCUAGCUUUUUCUAAAGAUUGAAUACCAUCUAAAUUAAUAGCAACAUCAUCCUCAGAAUUUCCCAACUCUACAUCAAGAUUUCGAGCGAUGCCAUCAAGUUUCUUGUGAAAAGAAGUAAGAACAGAUAAGUAACUGGGAGUACCAUUGGCGAUCUCCAAGUUUUUCACCCUGACAUUGUGGAUGGCCCUGUCAUGCGCAGUAUAGUUCAAGUCUUGAGCACCUCCUCAUUGUGUUGUCUUGAUCAUGACCUGCCCUUGAAGAAGUAAACUCAUUGUUCUCCACACCAGGUUCAGAAAUCUGACAUCUGUUGGUUUCAUUCGAGAUCAUCUAUGUAUGCCUUACUGCCAAUGCCCUCCAGCUCAUCCAGAAUUUGAUCAGAGAUUCUGCUCCCACUAUCUUGAGAUGUGAUAGUGUCAUCAGCACCAUGUUCAUUAUCCAGAGCAGCCGGCUCCUCUUUAUACUGCCUCUGAAAAUUAGCCUUUUGCUGCUCUUUGAGCAAUUGUCCUCUGAGUCGUUUCUCCUGUUUUUGCUGAAGGAAAAUAUUCAUCCUCCUCUCUGCUUCCAGUUGCACUUGUUUAUCAAAAUCUUCCUUGCGAAUAAUCCGAACCUUCUUGACCACCUACAUCCUCAGGCUUGUCUGACCAGCUGUCUCUUGAGUUUGUAGGCAGUUCAGGAAGCUGAUCACUACCUCUUUGGAUGCAGGAUGAAUCUUGUCUGUGUCUUUUACCCCUACCCCUCACAACAUCUCCCCUUCUUAAAAGGCCUGCAAUCAACUCAGCUGUAGGGAGAGCCAUACAAAGCUUUUCAUCAAAGCAUCAACUUUUCGGCCUAAAUGCAGCUUCAGUUUGAGCCAUACCCAAGAAAAACUCCACCAUGAUACAUCUCGGCACUGAAUUUUCCUGGCACAACACCUGCAUUGCAGCCAAAUACAGAAAAUCAGCGGUUCAGUUCUGAUACAUUGAUACAAUUCUGUCCA